AAUCUUGGACAAUGGGCGCAAGCCUGAUCCAGCAAUGCCUCGUGCAGGAUGAAGGUCUUCUGGUUGUAAACUGCUUUUGUACGGAAAGAAAAGUAUUGUGUUAAUACACUGGGUUCUGUACGGUCCCGUCAGAAUAAGAACCGGCUAAGUUCGUGCCUGCAGCCGCGGUAAUACGUAGGGUGCAAGUGUUAAUCUGAAUUACUGUGCGUAAAGCUUGCGCAGGCGUUUUUGUAAUGCAGUGGUGAAAUCCCCGGGCUCAACCUGGGAACAGCCAUUGUGACUGCAAGGCUAGAGUCCGGCAGAGGGGGAUGGAAUUCCGCGUGUAGCAGUGAAAUGCGUAGAUAUGCGGAGGAACACCGAUGGCGAAGGCAAUCCCCUGCGCCUGCACUGACGCUCAUGCACAAAAGCGUGGGGAGCAAACAGG
rnacentral:rRNA from 1 species